rnacentral:rRNA from 1 species
GUAGCGGCGAGUGAAGCGGCAAAAGCUCAAAUUUGAAAUCUGGCACUUUCAGUGUCCGAGUUGUAAUUUGAAGAAGGUAUCUUUGGGUCUGGCUCUUGUCUAUGUUUCUUGGAACAGAACGUCACAGAGGGUGAGAAUCCCGUGCGAUGAGAUGUCCCAGACCUAUGUAAAGUUCCUUCGAAGAGUCGAGUUGUUUGGGAAUGCAGCUCUAAGUGGGUGGUAAAUUCCAUCUAAAGCUAAAUAUUGGCGAGAGACCGAUAGCGAACAAGUACAGUGAUGGAAAGAUGAAAAGAACUUUGAAAAGAGAGUGAAAAAGUACGUGAAAUUGUUGAAAGGGAAGGGCUUGAGAUCAGACUUGGUAUUUUGUAUGUUACUCUCUCGGGGGUGGCCUCUACAGUUUACCGGGCCAGCAUCAGUUUGAGCGGUAGGAUAAGUGCAAAGAAAUGUGGCACUGCUUCGGUAGUGUGUUAUAGUCUUUGUCGAUACUGCCAGCUUAGACUGAGGACUGCGGCUUCGGCCUAGGAUGUUGGCAUAAUGAUCUUAAGUCGCCCGUCUUGAAACACGGACCAAGGAGUCUAACGUCUAUGCGAGUGUUUGGGUGUAAAACCCGUACGCGUAAUGAAAGUGAACGUAGGUAGGACCUCCUUUAGGAGUGCACUAUCGACCGAUCCUGAUGUCUUCGGAUGGAUUUGAGUAAGAGCAUAGCUGUUGGGACCCGAAAGAUGGUGAACUAUGCCUGAAUAGGGUGAAGCCAGAGGAAACUCUGGUGGAGGCUCGUAGCGGUUCUGACGUGCAAAUCGAUCGUCGAAUUUGGGUAUAG